rnacentral:rRNA from 1 species
UACGAGAGGCCCAACCGUUAUUCGGAUUUACUGGGCUUAAAGAGUUCGUAGGCGGCGCGGAAAGUAGGGUGUGAAAGCCCUCGGCUCAACCGAGGAAUUGCGCUCUAAACUACCGUGCUUGAGGAAGCUAGAGGUGAGCGGAACUGAUGGUGGAGCGGUGAAAUGCGUUGAUAUCAUCAGGAACACCGGAGGCGAAGGCGGCUCACUGGGGCUUUUCUGACGCUGAGGAACGAAAGCCAGGGGAGCGAACGGG